rnacentral:rRNA from 1 species
AUUGAACGCUGGCGGCAGGCCUAACACAUGCAAGUCGAGCGGGCGGCGGACGGGUGAGUACUGUAUGGGGACCUGCUCGAUAGAGGGGGAUAACUACUGGAAACGGUAGCUAAUACCGCAUACUAUCGGAUGAACCCAUAGGGGAUUAGCUAGUGGGGGAGGUAAUGGCCCACCAAGGCGACGAUCCCUAGCUGGUCUGAGAGGAUGAUCAGGCACACUGGGACUGAGACACGGCCCAGACUCCUACGGGAGGCAGCAGUGGGGAAUAUUGCACAAUGGGCGAAAGCCUGAUGCAGCCAUGCCGCGUGUAUGAAGAAGGCCUUCGGGUUGUAAAGUACUUUUGGCAGAGAAGCGGUAUCAGCAGAAUAAGCACCGGCUAACUACGUGCCAGCAGCCGCGGUAAUUC